GGGUAAGUUCCACAAGUGUUUUCACGUGGUUCACCGUUGGGCCGUUGCUGUGGCACUUCUGGCCCAAGUGUGCUACAGACAGGCCUAACCUUCACCCUGGUUUACAGGACAAGAAAUGCAGAACACACCUGAGCAUAACUGACAUUUUAAGCAUUGCUGACCUGAGGCUUGAGAGUGAGAUAGGAAGGCUUGCUGUUGUCAGCCUCUGAGGUGGUGGUAGGUUGCUUGUUAUGUAGAAUUAUCACAAAAAAAAGCCCUUUCAUGUUUGUUAUAUUUCCCAGGCUUUACAUAAUACUAAAAAUGUUAAUGAUUUUUGACAAAAUUAUAUAGCAUUUACUAUAAGACAAACAAUGUGGAAUGAUCUUAUGUCAUGCCUAGAAAGAAAAAUACAGUAUAAAAUAAGUUCAUUCAGGAUCCAUCCUCACAAUUCCUUAGGGUCUCAUUCUGAAAUAGGGAAUAUGCUUAUUAUACUUCAUUAUAUGACAAUCUCUGACAACUUAAAGUGAAACAAACAAAACGUACUAUGGUUUGAACUUCUUACAAAAUGCUAUCAUUUUGGAAUACAACAUUAUAGCCACAGGGUUCGAUAAUACUUUAAUAAACAUACAACUUCCUGUACUUCCAAAGAGAACACAGAAGACCAUAUAUUGAAAUAAAAUAGACCCUGGUCAGUCACUGUAACCCAGGAUAAAUAUCUUCUCUGAUUGUUUUUUAUGUGCUAUAGGAUCUGUGACACACUGAAUAUAUAAAGCACUUGAAAAAGAUGUGACUGUAAAAGAAAGCCAAAUAGGACCUCUGACACUGAUAAUGGAAACAGGCUAGUAAUUAAAGUUUGGAAAAGUAACUUUUAUGAGCAGCAAAGUUAUUGCAGAGGGAAGGACUUUCAUUUGUCCUCUUCAUGCACCAUAAGAGACAAAAAGCCUGACACACAAAUCAUGGCAGGUGAAGUGCAAGUAAGACUUCCCACCAGAUGGCUGUAAACAACUCGCAGAACCAGGCGAGCUAGACACAGAGUUUUCCCCACAAUAUAUGGCAGAUAUUUUUUUGCUAUGCCACAGGUAAACAAUGUAUACCCUAAAGCCAGUGAAGGUAGUACGAUAUUUACUAACAGAUGCCAAAGAACACAGACUCCAAGAUCCAUUGUUCCCCUAUGGUUAUAAAUGCAUCUCUUUACAAUAAUUCUGAGUGAUUUCAGCGAAAACACUUGAAAUCUUAUCCAGACAUAAAGCUGUAACACCAUGUGUCAGAGUAAACAACGUGGGCACAAAAGCCAGGAAAGAUAGUGUGUGUCAGCCAUAAAUAUAUCAGUGAAUGAAACCAAAAGGUCUCAUGCAUUAAAGAGGUUGUUAAUAAAUUCACAGGCUGAGAGCUGUAAUAAACAUAUCUUGGCAAAUUACAGUCAAGCCCUGCCCUAUAAAAUUGGGUAUAUAUGUAGAGUUUGGAUUUCAGAAGAUUUUCAGUGUGUCUCAUGGAAUCUUAAAUUGCAUUUAUGUAUCUCAUUUAUGGCUAUGCUUGUGAGUUCCUUGGGGACAGGGUAUAGAUCUUAUUCCUGUUUCUCUCUCUAAUUCUUACCUGCCAUCUACCAAUGCAAUAACUUUGUGAAAGAGAAGAUAAAAAGUUGAGUGGGAUGAAGGAGACAAAGAAAGAAGGAAAACCAGCCUAUUCAUCAUUUUCAGGCUGGAAUUUUCAAUCACAACAUCUCUGACUCUGCACCUUUGUAUCACCUUGCAGUGAUUCAGCAUCAUAGGCAGAGAAGUAUUUUUGGAAACCCUUCCUAUACCAAGCCACCAGGAGUAAUAUUACUAUACAUGGAACUGACUGAGAAAUACAUGGACAAAUCUCAGAGAACUCUAAAUAAAUGUAUCCUCAACUCAAGCUUUCUGAUAACUGAAUUUCCAAAAUGCUUAUGGUCACAUCAACACUGGAAGAAACAUAGCUAGCUACAGGAUGUGAAGAACAAGGAAUAAACCUUUAGUGUAUGGAAAUACUGAGGUUUGGUCAGUAACAGUGGAGUAAAAAAUAUCUUACUUUUGCAAAAUUUAUAAUAGAUUAUCAUAUGAGCAUAUUAAAAAAAAAUCUUAGGUCUAAAAUAAAAGCUUUGUAACAUA